AUGAAGAGCCCCUCCCGGCUACGCGCCGCCCCCUUCGUGUCCGCGCUCGUCCUUCUGCUGCUCGCUCUGGUUCCUUCUCCGGAGGCGGCCGAGCCCACCACGCCGGGGACCCGGACGCGCAAACUCGGCCGCGACGCCGGUUCCUCGGUGUUCUCGCUCUUCAACAUGAAGCCCCAGAGCAAGUUCUGGACCGAAUCGGUCAUGCGGACAGAGUUCGAUGACUUGGAGGGCUCGAAGUCAAGGGACUCCAUCAACAUUGGGCUUCUGAACUUCACGAGAGCUGGCAAUGUUGCAAACUAUAUGAACCUGGCGGAAGUUGAUUCGAUAUAUUUUUCAAUCCCUGUGAACUUCAUCUUUAUGGGAUUUGAUGGCAAAGGGGGCCAUGAGUUUAAGUUGGGACCUGAAGAACUGGAGCGCUGGUUUACAAAAAUCGACCACAUAAUUGAGCAUACGAGAAUCCCUCCGGUUGGAGAAGUUCUUACCCCAUUCUAUAAGACUACCGUUAAGAGACUAAAGAAAUAUGAUCUUCCUUUAGUAAGCCACGUGAAUCACAAUUUUUCUGUGCAUGCAAUACACAUGGGAGAAGAUAUCAUGUCUGUCUUUGAACAUGCUGUAAAAGUUCUAUCACGCAGAGAAGAUCUCACAGAUCCCAGUGAAAAUGGGGCGUCGAUUUGGCAAGUGGACAGUGAUCAAAUGGAGCAUGUAUUUUCAACACUUGUCGAUCACCUUCAGAUACAAGAAGCAUACAACAUCUUCAUUCUUAACCCCAAGCCUAUUGAAAAGAGUACUCAGUAUGGUUAUCGGAAGGGCUUCUCCGAGUCUGAGAUCAACUUACUGAGGGAGAAUAAGACCCUGCAAGCUCGGAUACUCCAAUCUAAAAGGGACCCAAAACUUUAUCUUGAUAUAGAGAAGGGAGUCAACAAAAGGCCCUUGUAUGAAAAUCAUCCCCUGUCAUCAUUUUCAUGGACCACAACUGACAAUGUGGAUAUGGGUGAUUGGUCAAAACAGUGCAAGGAAGCCUUAAGUGGUUUUGAACUGUUGAAGGCAGGAAAAAGUAAAGAGGACAUUAUUUAUGACAAAGCUGUUCAGAUAUUACAUGGUGCAAAAGAUGAGCUGCAUGAUGUUCUAGAGAGCGCACUCAUGUCCAGUGAUUUGAAGGGUUUGCAUGCUGAAUGCCUUACAGAUAUAUGGGUCGGCAGAAACAGGUUUGCUUUUGUUGAUCUUACUGCCGGACCAUUUUCCUGGGGCCCUGCUGUCGGUGGGGAUGGUGUUCGUACAGAACUUACUCUGCCAAAUGUGGCAAAAACUGUUGGGGCUGUCGCAGAAGUCACAGAGGAAGAGGCUGAAGAAAAUCUACAAGAUACAAUCAGAGAAAGAUUUUCUUCUGUUGGCGAGGAUUACCAUGCCGUAGAUAUCCUAUUGGCAGAGAUUGAUGUAUAUGAACUUUUUGCUUUCAAGCAUUGCAUGAAAAGAAGGGUACAACUUGCCCUUUGCAAAGAACUCGAUCAUAGAAUGCACGAGCUGAAAAAUGAACUGAAGGGCUACAACAGUGGAGAUUCUGAAGAAAUUAAUAAGAAGAAAGCUCUUGAUGCACUGAAGAGGAUGGAAAAUUGGAACUUGUUUAAAGAUAACUCUGAGGAACAUCAUAGUUACACAGUGGCUCGUGAUUCAUUUCUUGCACACCUGGGGUCAACAUUAUGGGGCUCUAUGAGGCAUGUAGUUGCUCCAUCUGUUUCUCACAGAGCAUACCAUUACUAUGAGAAGCUAUCAUUUCAGUUGUACUUCGUCACACAAGAGAAAGUCAGGACCAUAAAGCAGUUGCCCAUUAAUGUAAAAUCCAUCAGAGAUGGCCUUAGUUCUUUGUUAUUACCGUCUCAGAAGUCAAUGUUUACCCAACACAUGCUGUCAUUGUCAGAGGAACCAGCAUUGAUGAUGGCAUUUUCUAUGGCUCGCCGUGCAGCCGCGGUUCCACUUCUAUUGGUCAAUGGUACCUAUAGGUCCACAGUCCGUACAUACCUCGAUUCUGCUAUUCUCCAGCACCAAUUACAGAAAUUAAGUGAGCAAACUGCACUUAAAGGAGAACAUACAAAUCACAGGUCAACAUUGGAGGUUCCAGUAUUCUGGUUCAUACAUAGUGAACCCCUAUUACUGGAUAAACAUUAUCAAGCUAAGGCUCUUUCAAACAUGGUAGUCGUGGUUCAGUCAGAUGUCGAUUCUUGGGAAAGCCACAUACAAUGCAAUGGGAGGUCAAUCUUAUGGGAUCUGAGGAAACCAGUUAAGGCGGCUAUUGCUGCAUCUGCUGAAUAUGUAUCUGGUUUACUUCCUUCGCAUCUGGCUUAUAGCUCAGCUCAUGAAACUGCAUCAGAGGACUGGACAUGGUCUGUGGGCUGUAAUCCCUUAUCUAUUAGUUCUAAAGGUUGGCAACUUUCAGAAUUUCAGCAAGAUGUGAUCGCACGGAACUAUAUUAUUACUGGAGUGGAGGAAUCCAUACGAGUAGUCAAUUCAGCAAUUCAACGAUUGGUAACAGAGAGGACAUCUGAACAAGGCUUUAAAAUUUUCAAGACCAAGGAGAGCGGGAUGGUUGAAAAGUACAAUUCCGUUGUUAACAUGUGGAGAAGGGUUGCCUUUAUGUCUAGAGGGUUGCGGUAUGGUGAUGCGGUAAAGCUCAUGUCGUCGCUCGAGGAGGCUUCUAAUGGAUUUUCUCAUGCUGUGAACUCAACCAUCUCAAGUCUACACCCUGCAAAAUGUGCUCGUCAAAGGAAAAUUGACGUACAGCUAGACAUGACAACCAUCCCUGCUUUUAUAGUUGUUUUUGGGUUGCUUUGGUUUCUUUUGCGACCAAGGAGGCCGAAGCCCAAGAUCAACUGA
rnacentral:rRNA from 1 species